AAAUAUCUCAGCUCUAUUUUCCGAAUAAUUGUUGUGAUGAAGACUGAUGUUUCUUGUCACUUUCUUAUUCCCUUUGGGGAAAAUUCAGGGCUAGACCUGAACUUUUGGAAAGCAAGUCGUUAGUGGGAGACAUGCUUUUGUCUUUUAAUCUCAUGGAUAGAAAAAGCAUCUCGUAAAGGAAAUUGACCUAUUAUGAUGACUGAAUAGAGAGUCUUGUUCUACGUGAAGUUAAUAUUGUUAUGAGAAAAUACCAGCUAAAACAACAAAAUCAUGUCUGUUCAUUCACAGUACUGCAAAGGGAAUUUCACCACUGGGAAUCCUGAAUCAUAAACCUAUAAACGAUCUUCGUCUAGUUUCAGAAAUUGCAUAUACAAGAUAAAAUAGGCUCCACUGACAAGAUAGUCCAGGAUAUUCCAACAGCUUGUUUGAAGCAGCACAUAGGUGAUCAGCAUACCAUUCCUUGGAGAUAUUGAUCUGUACUCUGUGUAUCCAUUGGACAGGUUAACAACCUUGGGAGGUGGUUCCUGUGGUCAGGCCACGAUUGUUUGACAACUGAAACGUUCUAUAUUCAGUGGGAUAAAACACCGUAACUCCGAUUGAUCAGAGAUGUCUGCAAUUUAUGACAAUUGGGAAAGGCUUGUUCGAGCCACCCUUCGCAGGGAG